GUGUGGGUGGCGCAGCCGGCAGCGCGUUUGCCUUUUGUUCUGAGGGCCCCGGGUUCGAUUCCACCUGGGCU